AUCAUUUUUAAAAAUGUUAAAAACGACAAAAAAAAAAAAAAGCAAAACAAAAACACUAAAGCAAGAGGGGAACUUUUAUAAAGCAAUGUAAAUAUUUAACCUCAUGGCUAUUGUUACGUAAGACAUGAGAUUUUAAUAAAUAACUACAUUCUCACAACAUCUGUUGAAUUUAUUAGGAACACUUCGGUGACUGUAUAGACAGUUGAAAGCAUUCUUGAAAAUCCUGCUCUCUACUUUUAAAAGAUAAGAGUCUCUUUCAUCAGAUGUCAAGGGCAAGGGUAAUGCAGUUUCUGUAAAUUUACGAAAUUUUUUUUCUGUGUACAUGAAGACACUUAGUAUGUAAUCCCCCCUCCCCCCCCACA
rnacentral:lncRNA from 1 species